rnacentral:rRNA from 1 species
UACAGAGGUCCCAAGCGUUGUUCGGAUUCACUGGGCGUAAAGGGUGCGUAGGCGGUCGGGUAAGUCUGAUGUGAAAUCUCCAAGCUCAACUUGGAAAUGGCACCGGAUACUAUUCGGCUCGAGGAAUGGAGGGGAGACUGGAAUACUUGGUGUAGCAGUGAAAUGCGUAGAUAUCAAGUGGAACACCAGUGGCGAAGGCGAGUCUCUGGACAUUUCCUGACGCUGAGGCACGAAAGCCAGGGGAGCAAACGGG